UACGUAGGGUGCAGGCGUUAAUCGGAAUUACUGGGCGUAAAGGGCGCGUAGGCGGCCUUCUAAGUCGAACGUGAAAUCCCCGGGCUCAACCCGGGAACUGCGUCCGAUACUGGAAGGCUUGAAUCCGGGAGAGGGAUGCGGAAUUCCAGGUGUAGCGGUGAAAUGCGUAGAUAUCUGGAGGAACACCGGUGGCGAAGGCGGCAUCCUGGACCGGCAUUGACGCUGAGGCGCGAAAGCUAGGGGAGCAAACGGG
rnacentral:rRNA from 1 species